UGAUACUGUUAGAAUGUUUUUCAUUUUAUAAAAAAGUUGAGUAGAGAGCAAGGGGGAGAAGGGUUAUCAACACUCGAUCAUCCUCAUUCUCCACUUCACACUCCUGGGCGCAGAUCGGUGUAACUAAUCACUGGAAAACAAGGAAUUUCAAGAGAGAUGAUGAAGAAAAUUAACAAUUCCAUGGGUGCAACUAACGAAGCUGUAUCCAGCGCUUCCCAAAAGAAACAACUUAGGUCAAGGAAACCCAAGUUUGAGGUUGGCAAACCAAAGCAAGGAUUUGAUAUUAAGGAGAAAAAGGAUAAGAAAAAGAAAAGGAAGGAGACAUCAGCCACCAAGAUUGAAAAGCUAUUGGAGAAGUUCCCUAUGAUGUUUUCUGAGAUUAGGGCAAGCAAUCAGAGGCUGAGAGAACUGAUAGCUGAGAUCGACGCACACAUUGUUGAUCAGCUUAAUGCAUGGGAUGACGGUGGCAACGGCUUUUAACUGCUUGAUAUCUGGCGGAAAAAGAGAAGACAAGACCAACAAGUUCCGAUAUCUUAGGGCUUCUCACUUGAAUUCUCUACGUAUCUAGCUAUUUUUCUACUUAUUUGUCAAGAAUCAAUAAUUGAAAUGGUGUGUUUAGUUAUUGAAAGACAAUCUAUUUGCUACAUUUGAUUCAAGUACUUCAAUUUGGGAAAUACUUAUUUGAUUUCUGAUUCUGGUGA